rnacentral:miRNA from 1 species
UGGCUGCAAAAGUAAUUGUGAUUUUUGCCAUUACUUUUAUGGCAAAACCUGCAAUUACUUUUGCACCAAAC